UACGAAGGGGGCGAGCGUUGUUCGGAAUUACUGGGCGUAAAGGGCGCGCAGGCGGCUCUUCAAGUCAGGCGUGAAAGCCCCGGGCUUAACCUGGGAAUUGCGCUUGGGACUGGAGGGCUUGAGUACGGGAGAGGAGAGUGGAAUUCCCAGUGUAGAGGUGAAAUUCGUAGAUAUUCGGAAGAACACCAGUGGCGAAGGCGACACACUGGCUCGCUACUGACGCUGAGGCGCGAAAGCGUGGGGAGCAAACAGG
rnacentral:rRNA from 1 species